UACGUAGGGUGCGAGCGUUGUCCGGAAUUAUUGGGCGUAAAGGGCUCGUAGGCGGUUUGUCGCGUCGGGAGUGAAAAUCCAGGGCUUAACUCUGGACUGGCUUUCGAUACGGGCAGACUAGAGGUAUGCAGGGGAGAACGGAAUUCCUGGUGUAGCGGUGAAAUGCGCAGAUAUCAGGAGGAACACCGGUGGCGAAGGCGGUUCUCUGGGCAUUACCUGACGCUGAGGAGCGAAAGCGUGGGGAGCAAACAGG
rnacentral:rRNA from 1 species